rnacentral:ncRNA from 1 species
UUGAAUAAAUUAACAAUCAAAAAGAGAAAUAAUGACCAAGGUGCCCACACCGACAAUAGAGGAUGCAAGCAUUAUCUGGAAUGAUUGGGCGUAAAGCGUUUGUAGGUGGCUUUUUAAGUUUGUCGUCAAAUCCCAGGGCUCAACCCUGGGCAGGCGGUGGAAACUACCAAGCUGGAGUACGAUAGGGGCAGAGGAAAUUUCCUCUGAAGCGGUGAAAUGCGUAGAGAUCGAAAAGAACACCAACGACGAAAACACUUUGCUGGGUUGACAUUAACACUGAAAGACGAAAGCUAGGGGAGCAAAUGGGAUUAGAUACCCCAGUAGUCCUAGUCGUAAACGAUGGAUACUAUACACUAUGUGUAUCGACCCGUGCAAUGCUGUAACUAAUGCGUUAAGAAUCCUGCCGGAGGAGUAUGUUCACAAGAAUGAAACUCAAAGAAAUUGACGGGGACCCACAAGCCAAGGUGGCCCUCGCCUGUGGUCAAGGUACGAUAUUU